UGAAAGAAAAUUUGACUUCGAAUUAAAUAAAGCUUUUGCUCUUUCAA
rnacentral:tRNA from 1 species